rnacentral:rRNA from 1 species
GCCGCGUGAGGGAUGAAGGCCUUCGGGUCGUAAACCUCUGUCAGAGGGGAAGAACCGUCUGUGGGAUAAUACCCCGCAGGCCUGACGGUACCCUCAAAGGAAGCACCGGCUAACUCCGUGCCAGCAGCCGCGGUAAUACGGAGGGUGCAAGCGUUGUUCGGAAUUAUUGGGCGUAAAGCGCGCGCAGGCGGCUGCGCAAGUCUGAUGUGAAAGCCCCGGGCUCAACCUGGGAAGUGCAUCGGAAACUGCGUAGCUUGAGUACGGGAGAGGGAAGCGGAAUUCCGAGUGUAGGGGUGAAAUCCGUAGAUAUUCGGAAGAACACCAGUGGCGAAGGCGGCUUCCUGGACCG